rnacentral:rRNA from 1 species
GACGAACGCUGGCGGCGUGCUUAACACAUGCAAGUCGAACGAAGUGGCGAACGGGUGAGUAAUACGUGGGUAACCUGCCCUCCUUUUUGGGAUAAGCCUUGGAAACGGGGUCUAAUACCGAAUAAAGGGGGAUUGGCUCGCGGCCUAUCAGCUUGUUGGGGGGGUGAUGGCCUACCAAGGCGGUGACGGGUAGCCGGCCUGAGAGGGGGACCGGACACAUUUGGACUUAGAGACGGCCCAGGCUCCUACGGGAGGCAGCAGUUGGGGAGAUUGCACAAUGGGCGAAAGCCUGAGGCAGCGACGCCGCGUGGGGGAUGAAGGCUUUCGGGUUGUAAACCUCUUUCGAUAGCGAACGGGUAGGUGGAGAAGAAGCGCCGGCUAACUACGUGCCAGCAGCCGCGGUAAUAC